AUUGAACGCUAGCGGGAUGCUUUACACAUGCAAGUCGAACGAGUGGCGGACGGGUGAGUAAUAUAUCGGAACGUGCCCAGUAGAGGGGGAUAACUACUCGAAAGAGUGGCUAAUAACGCAUACUAUUGGAGCGGCCGAUAUCGGAUUAGCUAGUUGGAGGGGUAAAGGCGCACCAAGGCAACGAUCCGUUGCUGGUUUGAGAGGACGACCAGCCACCCUGGGACUGAGACACGGCCCAGACUCCAUCGGGAGUCCUCAGUGGGGAAUUUUGGACAAUGGGGUCAACCCUUAUCCAGCCAUCCCGCGUGUAUAAGAAGGCCUUCGGGUUGUAAAGUUCUUUUGGCGGAGAAGCGGUAUCUGCAGAAUAAGCACCGGCUAACUACGUGCCAGCAGCCGCGGUAAUUC
rnacentral:rRNA from 1 species